rnacentral:lncRNA from 10 species
AUGCCAGAUGGGAAGACAGGUUCUCAAUCCGGUCUGUGGAUUUACCGAGGAUUUGUAGCUAGGCAUCAAACUGUCUUCAGCUUGAAGGUUGGGUUUCAGUGGGGACCUGUUCCUGUCUGCCUAGGAUUUGUCUGCCUCCUGCCGCUGUCGCUACCAUCUGGGAGUAAGGGCGAAAGAAGACAGAAACUUCCAAGAAAGAAUCCUGAGUGAUGUCAGCAAGAAUGGCUAACUCCUCAGUAUCCCUGAAAACCAACAGCCAGGCAACCACUGGAAGGAGCAGAAUAGGUUUGGAGCAUCUUCAAAGCCCCAUUCCCAGAGAAUUGUCAUUAUUUGACUUGUAUGGUGGUUUCCUGUAAGACUCUACUCACAAGACU